GAAGCGGAGCGGGCUGAGAGCCCACGUGGGUUCUCCGCGUGUUGCUGCGUCCCUGGCAGCCGGUCCUGUAAACUUAGUCGACAUGGGUCGUUCCGGGAAGCUGCCCUCCGGAGUCUCGGCCAAGUUGAAACGCUGGAAGAAAGGCCAUAGCAGCGACAGCAACCCCGCCAUCUGCCGCCACCGCCAGGCCGCCCGCAGCCGUUUCUUCAGCCGGCCCUCAGGAAAGAGCGACUUGACAGUUGAUGCGUUGAAGUUGCAUAAUGAGCUGCAGUCAGGGUCCCUGCGCCCGGACAGGAGCGAAGCCGCGGAGGCGGCUAUGGAAGACGAGGAGGCGCCGGCUCUCACGGAGAAGUCCUCGGCCACCUUCCUAAGCGGCCUCUCCGACUGCACUAACGUCACCUUCAGCAAAGUGCAGCGCUUCUGGGAGUCCAACUCGGCCGCCCACAAGGAGAUCUGUGCGGUCCUGGCUGCUGUCACCGAGGUGAUCCGCUCCCAGGGUGGGAAGGAGACGGAGACCGAGUACUUUGCAGCCCUGAUGACGACAAUGGAAGCGGUGGAGUCCCCGGAGUCUCUGGCUGCUGUUGCUUACCUGCUGAACCUUGUCCUGAAGCGCGUGCCCAGUCCUGUGCUCAUUAAGAAGUUUUCGGAUACCUCAAAAGCCUUCAUGAGUAUCCUGUCAGCCCAGGCCAGCAGUGGCUCCACCUCUGCCCUCCGAUGGGUCCUCUCGUGCCUGGCCACCCUUCUGCGGAAGCAGGACCUGGAGGCCUGGGGCUACCCCGUGACCCUGCAGGUGUACCACGGGCUGCUGAGCUUCACCGUGCAUGCCAAGCCCAAGAUCCGGAAGGCUGCCCAGCAUGGCGUGUGCUCGGUCAUCAAAGGCAGUGAAUUCAUGUUUGGUGAGAAGGCUCCUGCCCACCACCCUGCUGCCACGUCCACCGCCAAGUUCUGCAUCCAGGAGAUUGAGAAGUCUGGAGGCUCCAAGGAGGCCACCACCACGCUGCACAUGCUGACACUGCUGAAGGACCUGCUGCCCUGCUUCCCGGAGGGCCUGGUGAAGAGCUGCAGUGAGACUCUCCUCAGGGUCAUGACCUUGAGCCAUGUGCUGGUGACAGCCUGUGCCAUGCAGGCCUUUCACAGCCUCUUCCAUGCCAAGCCUGGCCCAGGUACCCUGCCUGCAGAGCUCAAUGCCCAGAUCAUCACGGCCUUGUAUGACUACGUUCCCAGUGAGAAUGACUUACAGCCGCUGCUGGCCUGGCUUAAGGUCAUGGAGAAAGCUCACAUCAACCUGGUCAGGCUGCAGUGCGACCUCGGGCUGAGUCACCUCCCUCGCUUUUUUGGAACCGCCACGGCCUGCCUCCUCUCUCCGCACUCACAGGUGGUCACAGCUGCCACCCAGAGCCUCCAGGAGAUCCUGAAGGAUUGUGUCGCUCCCCACAUGGCUGACAUCGGCUCUGUGACCUCCUCAGCCUCAGGCCCUGCCCAGUGUGUCGCCAAGAUGUUCAGGGCAGUGGAGGAGGGCCUCACGUACAAAUUCCAUGCGGCCUGGAGCUCCGUGUUGCAGCUGCUGUGUGUCUUCUUCGAGGCCUGUGGGAGGCAGGCCCACCCUGUGAUGAAGAAGUGUCUCCAGUCCCUGUGUGACCUACGCCUCUCCCCCCACUUCCCUCACACAGCAGCUCUGGACCAGGCAGUGGGGGCUGCGGUGGCCAGCAUGGGGCCUGAGGUGGUUUUACAGGCUGUGCCGCUGGAAAUUGAUGGUUCUGAAGAGACUCUGGAUUUCCCACGGAGCUGGCUGCUGCCCGUCAUCCGGGACCAUGUCCGGGAAACGCGACUUGGUUUCUUCACCACCUACUUCUUGCCCCUGGCUACCACCCUGAAGAGCAAAGCAACGGACCUGGCCCAGGUGGACCGCAUGGUGGAGUCCAAGAUCUAUGACACGCUGCAGUGGCAGAUCUGGACCCUCCUGCCCGGGUUCUGCACGAGGCCCACAGAUGUAGCCGCCUCCUUUAAAGGGCUGGCACGGACACUGGGCACAGCGAUCAGCGAGCGUCCAGACCUGAGGGUCACGGUGUGCCAGGCCCUGCGCACUCUCAUCACCAAGGGCUGUGAGGCAGAGGCUGACCGUGCCGAAGUAAGCCGUUUUGCCAAGAACUUUCUGCCAAUCCUCUUCAACUUGUAUGGGCAGCCUGUUGCAGCCGGGGACACACCAGCUCCUCGCCGGGCCGUGCUGGAAACCAUCAAAACUUACCUUACUAUUACUGACCCUCAGUUGGUGAAUGGUUUCCUGGAAAAAGCCAGUGAGAAGGUGCUGGACCCUGCUAGCUCGGACUUCACCAGAUUGUCUGUCCUGGACCUGGUUGUGGCCUUGGCUCCCCACGCUGAUGAAGCUGCCAUCAGCAAGCUGUACUCCACCAUCCGGCCCUACCUGGAGAGCAAGGCCCAUGGGGUGCAGAAGAAGGCCUACCGCGUGCUGGAGGAGGUGUGUGCCGGCCCCCAGGGCCCCGGGGCCCGCUUCGUGCAGAGCCACCUGGAUGACCUGAAGAAGACCCUGCUGGACUCGCUGCGGACCACUUCCUCUCCUGCCAAGAGGCCCCGUUUGAAGUGCCUCAUACAUAUCGUGAAGAAGCUCACAGCCGAGCAUGAGGAGUUCAUUACUGCCCUUGUCCCGGAGGUGAUCCUGUGUACCAAGGAGGUGUCGGUGGGCGCGCGGAAGAACGCUUUCGCCCUGCUGGUGGAGAUGGGCCACGCUUUCCUUCGGUUUGGCCCGAGCCAGGAAGAGGCCCUGCAGCGCUACCUCGUCCUGAUCUACCCCGGCCUCGUGGGCGCUGUCACCAUGGUCAGCUGCAGCAUCCUGGCCCUGACCCACCUCCUUUUUGAGUUUAAAGGCCUGAUGGGGACCAGCACGGUGGAGCAGCUGCUGGAGAACGUGUGUCUGCUCCUGGCCUCCCGCACCCGUGACGUGGUCAAAUCGGCGCUGGGCUUCAUCAAGGUGGCCGUGGUGGUCAUGGACGUGGCACACCUGGCCAAGCACGUGCAGCUUGUGAUGGAGGCCAUCGGGAAACUGUCCGAUGACAUGCGGCGGCACUUCCGCAUGAAGCUUCGCAACCUGUUCACCAAGUUCAUCCGCAAGUUUGGGUUUGAGCUGGUGAAGGGGCUGCUGCCCGAGGAGUACCACAAAGUCCUGGUCAACAUCCGGAAAGCUGAGGCGCGGGCCAAGAGGCACCGUGCUCUGAGCCAGGCUGCUGAGGAAGAAGAGGAAGAGGAGGAGGAGGAGGAGCCUGCCCAGGGCAAGGGUGACAGCAUUGAGGAGAUUUUGGCCGACUCCGAGGACGAGGACAGUGAGGAGGAAGAAAGGAGCCGGGGCAAGGAGCAGCGGAGGCUGAGCCGGCAGAGGAGCCAGGCGUGGCUGAAGGAGGGUGGAGGGGAUGAGCCCCUCAACUUCCUCGACCCCAAGGUGGCCCAGCGAGUCCUAGCCACACAGCCUGGGACUGGCCGGGGCAAGAAGAAGGACCAUGGCUUCAAAGUGAGCGCCGAUGGCCGGCUGAUCAUCCGGGAGGAAGAGGAGGAUGCUGCCACCACCAAGAUGGAGGAAGAGGAAGGCUCUAAAGGGGAGGAUGAAGAGAUGGCUGACCUGAUGGAAGAUGUGGGCGUCAGGAGUAAAAAACACCAGAAGCUCAAGCGUCAGAAAGAGGCUGAUGAUGAGGAGCUAGAGAUGCCUCCUCAGUAUCAAGCUGGAGGCUCUGGCAUCCAUCGCCCUGUGGGCAAGAAGGCUACCCCCGGGGCCGAAUACAAGGCCAAGAAAGCAAAGGGUGACGUGAAGAAGAAAGGUCGGCUCGAUCCCUAUGCUUACAUCCCCCUCAACAGAACCAAGCUCAACCGCAGGAAGAAGGUGAAGCUGCAGGGACAGUUCAAAGGCCUGGUGAAAGCUGCCCAGCGGGGAUCUCAGGUGGGACACAAGCUCCGCAGAAAGGCUCGUCGGCCCUGAACCCCAGGCCCCAGGGCUGCUCUGCGGCCCAGGCUGUGGCACCGCCAGGACUCAGAAUGAACUGUAGGAAUCAGGGCUUGGUUCCCAGAGGCACAGGAUUUGGGGAAUUCCAAACGGGAAUCGCCUUUUAGAGAUGUCCUUGGGACCUGGAGGUGGGGACGUGCCUCAGUGCCUGUGCAUAGGCCAGCGAGGCGCUGGUGCCUUCUGCCCGGAGCGGCCUGUGCAGCAGAGCGGACGAUCUUCCAUUCGCUCCAGCUGCUCACGCCACAGGGCACUCUCAGCCCGGCUGUCGUCCAGGUGUGUGAGGUUUGCUGUGACCGACAUAGAAUAAACCUGCAUCGCCACGCAUUGUCCCUACAAACAUUGUGUUUCAUCACCUGCCUCCUUCGGGGACAAGAACAGUGUCUGGUCAUUGGCAACAAUGUCUUGACCCCUUCCUCUCAAUCCUGGCAUCCAGUCCGGGGCAUAGGGUGAUAGCUCAGGGACACCCACCUGGUUGAGCACCACACUCAGACUAGAAAGGGAACUACAGCGUGGCUGCCUCUGAGCUCGUUUCUCCCAGCCACUUUGUUCACGGAUUCAGCAGUGUUUCCAAGGCCCUCCGUCUGCCAAGCACAGCCUGAUUACCCACCUGUCUGAUCCGCACCUCCUCUUUUUUCCAGACCAGUGGGUCAGGUUGUGGUACACAGCAGAGUGAAUCCUGCUGCCCAGGAUUGUUGGUCUGGAGCAGAGAAGAUGCAGACCCUCCUCGCUCCUCAGGUCCCUUGUCCAUCAGGGUUCUCCUUGUGUGUGGGUUCCCAGCAGGCAUCAAGAAGCAAAGACCCCAGGGCUACCGCCACCCCCAAAUAUGAGGGUUUAUGCUUUAGCCCCUGGCAUUUGAUUGACAGCUUUCUUCAUCUCAGAACCUUUCUGUUUGAGAUGAGACCAAACACAUAUGCAAACAUUACUUAAUCACUUCCAUCCCGUUUUAUGCCCUUGGCUCUGAUGAAGUUCCCAGGAGGCCCUGUGCACUUUCCCACUCAUCCUCUGUGGGCACUCAAGUCUUGACCCCAAAUUAGGACGUUUCCUCCUGCUGAUUUUGGGCUAGGAAGCAUGAAGGAACUACACUUCGCCCAGAGGUGGCGCUGUGCACAUGCCUUGUUCACAGUCCGGAAUGGGACAGCAGCAAGAAAAGAAAGGUCGUCAAAAGAAGUGGUGUUAGAGAUUUGCAAAGGUGGUCCAACCGUGACCCCCAUCGUUACACUUCUGGGUACAAGGGCAACUACAAUGGUUGAGGGCCUCCACCAAGAUCCAGAUUUGCCACUUUAACUCCAUUGUGCUUUUGGCAAUGCCAGACUCAGAGACUUCUUCAGGCUCUUUUCUGGGGUCAAUCCUCUACUCGUUCACAGAAAUGGAAGACAGAAUACCCCACCUGACUGCACCAAAACAGCAGCCUUUGUAUUGGCAUGGGACCUGGUCAGGCAGUUUGCUCAUGACACGUCUGGACACAGGAGGAUCAAGUUAAGCCAGGCCUACCCCAGGCACCAGUUUACUAGUAUUCCUGACAGUGGCUGUCAUGUUAGGUCUGUGGUCUUAUUUGCAAGCCUGCCUCAGUCCACAUGCUUGGUCAUGUUUUUCUGUAUUGUUUGCAACAUGUGAGAAAAUUAAGACAUUAAAGUAGUCUGUUUUUAUUCUU